rnacentral:lncRNA from 1 species
CUAGCACAUUCAUAUUUUUACAACAUAAUGUAUAUGAUAUCAUUGUUACUAGAGUAGCAUGUUUAUAUUUUAAGCCAUUAAAAUAAUAUAUUAUUUUUAAAUAACUGUGAUAUCUUAACUUAGGGAACUGGAUUGCUGUGGCUUCCCCAAGGCAUGAAACUUUUUGCAGUGUUUUAUACUCUUGGAAAUAUUUCUGCAUUAGCCAGGGGCCUCGGGACCCGGCCGGCCCCCCGCACCAUGCCGUUCCCGCCGAUCGCGCCGCCGCAGCCCCAGGCCCAGCGCGGCUCCAGCCCGGCGGGCGCCACGGCCGCGCGCGACGUGUCCGGGAGGCCCGGCGACCCGCGGA